UAGAGGAUUGCGGCUACAAGGAGCUCAUUGAUGCUUUUCUUCGCGACCAAGAAGCCGACCAUGGUGAAGAGCGGCAAACCCAAACACAAAAGGGUGUCUCCUCACAAGAUGAAAGCGCCGAAGACCCUGCUUCAGAAAGCACCAUUGCUCCCUCGGGCACUCUUGUUGUUUCCACAUGCUAUGAAGCUGGCAAUACUGUAGGAGAAACAGCAUGCACUGAGCUUGUUAAUGCAGUAGAAGAACCAACAUACGAAGAGCUUUGCAGCAACAAACAAGACAUUGGCAGUACUGAAGUAAUUUGUCCCCCUUCAGCUGAAAGAGAUGGAAAUAGGUGGACAGACAUAGGGGAGGAUCAAACCUUAACACAGAAAGGAUCGGCUAACGCUGUUUUCAGCAAUAAUGGUGAAAAUCCCCAGAGUAACUCUCAUGUUACUUCUCCACCUCCAACUACUUCCGCAUGCCCAGUUAAUCGUCUCAAAAUGAGUUCUUAGAGCCAAGUGCAAUCACAGAGUACCUCUCAUGUUUCUACUCCACCUCCAGCUUCUUCCUCAAGCCCAGUUGUUAAUCGUUUCAAAAUGAGUUUUGGGAGCCAAGUGAAAUCACGGAGUACUCCUUGUGUUUCUACUCCACCUCUAACUUCUUCUUCAUGCCCGGUUAAUCGUCUCAAAAUAAAUUCUGGGAGCCAAGUGGAAUCACGGAGUACCCCUCAUGUUUCUACUCCUCCUCCAACUUCUUCCUCAAGCCCAGUUAAUCGUCUCAAAAUGACUUCUGUGAGCCAAGUGAAAUCACGGAGUAACUCUCAUGUUUCUGCUCCACCUCCAACUUCUCCCUCAAGCCCAAUUAGUGCUGAUCAUCGCACUAAAAAUCUUCCUUCCUCAAAGCCAGUUAGUGUUCCACCAAGAAAGCACGUUCCUUGUUAUGGCUGGAUUGGAAAUGAUGACGAAGAGGAUGCUGACGACUUCAUACAAUUACCACCAAUGAAACCAACUACGUCACAAAAUUCAAGUGGUGGUACCAAUAAGCAAAUGAAACGCAAAUCAAGGUGGGAUAUUAGACCCAAUGAUCCUUAGUAUCCUCUCUCUUUAAUGAUAUCAGUGUAUAGACAUAACUUGUAUUGGCAUAGAAGACUGUUUUGUUAGUCAAUGCUCAAGGUUUGCAAUAACUUGGAAGCUUUAGUUUGAGUUAAUCAUGUAUUGUAGGUUGGAUAUAUUUCCAACUUGGGCUUGUACUGACUACCCAAGAAACAUGGGAAUUGGGUUCCCAGCCAAAAGAAGACCGCAUACUUUCUGCUGGUUUCUUAAGUUACACACCAUCAAACGUAUUUUGGUCUGUGUGGACUAGUCGCAAGUGCUUGGAUCCCCAUAUAUUGUGGUAAAGCCCAG